GCUUGCGGCAUUUGCGAGUUUUCGCUCACUCAUGUUCGAGGGAAAAUUGCUUGCGUGCAUGGGGAGGAUGGAUGCGUUUGACCUUAAGAAGCACCCAAAAUCCUAAAAUUGUAGAUCGCCUGUCGUCACACGCCAUGCCACGUGUGAAAAUGUCUGUUGUUUAGCUUAGUGAGAGGCAAGUAGGUCGGACUCGGGGGUCAGUUUCAGAGCAAUUGAGGGAAGGGGGUGGGGCCAUGAGACCAUGUGCCUAAUUAGCACCAUUGUCAAAAAUGGACGUUUUCCAAUUCCAGGUAAAACACGAGGCGUUCCCAGUGUGACUUCGAUCACGCAGCCACGGCAGCCAGGUAUAACAACGGGCUUGUGAGGUGCCUCGGACUACAAGUUGCACGGUUUCAACAUCUGCGAAGUAGUUAGUGGUUUGCGCCUGCCAUUCUAGUCUUCACAGAUGUUCAUUGUGGCUUUCCAGGUUACUUGGAUAGGGACUCGGUGAUAUGCCCGCAUGCGGGUUUGGGCAGGGAACAUCACAAGAACUUACAAGACCAAGCGCUUGCGGCAUUUGCGAGUUUUCGCUCACUCAUGUUCGAGGGAAAAUUGCUUGCGUGCAUGGGGAGGAUGGAUGCGUUUGACCUUAAGAAGCACCCAAAAUCCUAAAAUUGUAGAUCGCCUGUCGUCACACGCCAUGCCACGUGUGAAAAUGUCUGUUGUUUAGCUUAGUGAGAGGCAAGUAGGUCGGACUCGGGGGUCAGUUUCAGAGCAAUUGAGGGAAGGGCGUUGGGCCAUGAGACCAUGUGCCUAAUUAGCACCAUUGUCAAAAAUGGACGUUUUCCAAUUCCAGGUAAAACACGAGGCGUUCCCAGUGUGACUUCGAUCACGCAGCCACGGCAGCCAGGUAUAACAACGGGCUUGUGAGGUGCCUCGGACUACAAGUUGCACGGUUUCAACAUCUGCGAAGUAGUUAGUGGUUUGCGCCUGCCAUUCUAGUCUUCACAGAUGUCCAUUGUGGCUUUCCAGGUUACUUGGAUAGGGACUCGGUGAUAUGCCCGCAUGCGGGUUUGGGCAGGGAACAUCACAAGAACUUACAAGACCAAGUGCUUGCGGCAUUUGCGAGUUUUCGCUCACUCAUGUUCGAGGGAAAAUUGCUUGCGUGCAUGGGGAGGAUGGAUGCGUUUGACCUUAAGAAGCACCCAAAAUCCUAAAAUUGUAGAUCGCCUGUCGUCACACGCCAUGCCACGCGUGAAAAUGUCUGUUAUUUAGCUUAGUGAGAGGCAAGUAGGUCGGACUCGGGGGUCAGUUUCAGAGGAAUUGAGGGAAGGGGGUGGGGCCAUGAGACCAUGUGCCUAAUUAGCACCAUUGUCAAAAAUGGACGUUUUCCAAUUCCAGGUAAAACACGAGGCGUUCCCAGUGUGACUUCGAUC
rnacentral:lncRNA from 1 species